rnacentral:rRNA from 1 species
CCUACGGAGGGCAGCAGUGGGGAAUAUUGGACAAUGGGGGCAACCCUGAUCCAGCCAUGCCGCGUGUGUGAAGAAGGCCCUCGGGUUGUAAAGCACUUUCAGUGAGGAAGAACGCCUGGUGGUUAAUACCCAUCAGGAAAGACAUCACUCACAGAAGAAGCACCGGCUAACUCCGUGCCAGCAGCCGCGGUAAUACGGAGGGUGCGAGCGUUAAUCGGAAUUACUGGGCGUAAAGCGCGCGUAGGUGGCUUGAUAAGCCGGUUGUGAAAGCCCCGGGCUCAACCUGGGAACGGCAUCCGGAACUGUCAAGCUAGAGUGCAGGAGAGGAAGGUAGAAUUCCCGGUGUAGCGGUGAAAUGCGUAGAGAUCGGGAGGAAUACCAGUGGCGAAGGCGGCCUUCUGGACUGACACUGACACUGAGGUGCGAAAGCGUGGGUAGCAAACAGGAUUAGAUACCCUUGUAGUC